UGGGUUCGUUGAGCUCCACGCGUGGCCGCAGCAAUUCCUCACGCUCAGUCAAUAUCAGACCCGCGAUCUCAGAUUCAAUCAGCCGGGCGGGAAACGCAUUUGCCAUGCCAACGAUUCGAUCGCCUGACUCCGCAAUUAUGCAAUUCUAUUCCCGUCGUCGCAGCGGCCAUCUCCCGAUAAACUGGCAUUGCUUCCGCUGUAGGGUCGAUCCCGCGCAGGAUGAACGCAAGUGUAUCGCCAUCCGCGAGAUAGGCCAAUUUCGCAAUCAUACGACUGUCUUCGCGCGUCGCAGGUCUGAUCGCAAUCUGUCUGCGCCCG
rnacentral:misc_RNA from 1 species